UGACGGCCACGUAGGGAAAUAAAAAUAGUGUUCACCCUUGUAUUCUAUCACGGAAAACGAUACCUCAUAAUACUUUAAUCGUGUUUCAGAGGAUACAUAGCGGGAUUGCGAUCUACGAGCGUCACAGCACAGGCCCUCGGGCUCCUCUUUGUGGACCGUAAGGCCCAAUGCAUCACAGGUAAACAGGAUCUCAGAAAUCGGAAGAAGUAGCCUGCCUCGAACGGGGCAGGUAGAAAGAGGAAGCAAUGAGCAUGAAAUGAGGAUAUCCUGGAUAAUUGCAAUUUUAAUAUGUGUUAUUAUAUACAAUAAACAUUUUCACUAGGAGUCCAUGUGUUAACUGAAAAAGGAAUGUAACGUCAGAAUAUGUAAUAACAGAGCCGCCGCUAGAGUUUACGGGCCCUGAGGCACAAGUCGAUGUUUAUUUUCAACGCGGUUGGAAGUUGCGUUAGGUCAGUGAUGAGCACUGAUGAGAACAACUCUCAUUAUAUUGCAAUGGAAAAGUUAGUUUCUAACUCUGAGAUUUUUAAAAUUUCAAGAUUUGUAAA